rnacentral:tRNA from 1 species
CAAGGGUUAUUUUAUAAAAAUACAAGCUUUGGAUGUUUGAGAUAAGAUAUAAAUUCUUACCCUUGA